ACAUGCAAGUCGAACGGCAGCGGGGGCUUCGGCCUGCCGGCGAGUGGCGAACGGGUGAGUAAUGCAUCGGAACGUGCCCAUGUCGUGGGGGAUAACGUAUCGAAAGGUACGCUAAUACCGCAUACGCCCUGAGGGGGAAAGCGGGGGAUUCUUCGGAACCUCGCGCGAUUGGAGCGGCCGAUGUCGGAUUAGCUAGUAGGUGAGGUAAAGGCUCACCUAGGCGACGAUCCGUAGCGGGUCUGAGAGGAUGAUCCGCCACACUGGGACUGAGACACGGCCCAGACUCCUACGGGAGGCAGCAGUGGGGAAUUUUGGACAAUGGGCGCAAGCCUGAUCCAGCCAUGCCGCGUGAGUGAAGAAGGCCUUCGGGUUGUAAAGCUCUUUCGGCCGGGAAGAAAUCGUGGUCUCUAACAUAGGCCAUGGAUGACGGUACCGGACUAAGAAGCACCGGCUAACUACGUGCCAGCAGCCGCGGUAAUACGUAGGGUGCGAGCGUUAAUCGGAAUUACUGGGCGUAAAGCGUGCGCAGGCGGUUUUGUAAGACAGAUGUGAAAUCCCCGGGCUUAACCUGGGAACUGCGUUUGUGACUGCAAGGCUAGAGUACGGCAGAGGGGGGUGGAAUUCCUGGUGUAGCAGUGAAAUGCGUAGAUAUCAGGAGGAACACCGAUGGCGAAGGCAGCCCCCUGGGCCUGUACUGACG
rnacentral:rRNA from 1 species